ensembl:lncRNA
GUUGGCUUUAGGGAUGAUCAGUGAGAUACACCUGCUGGAGCGCGUGCUACGGAUGGGUGUUGCCAUCGUGACCAGUGAACUGAGAUAAGGCGGAGCUUUACCUAGCAUGGACUUGUAGAUGACCUGGAGCCAGUGGGUGAUGAAAGGGGACAUAAGAUAAAACACUUAUGUAAACACCAGUACGUACACCAGUAACAUGUGAAACAGGAAAUGAACUACCAUCCUGAAGUAUGACUAAAAAUAAAAAGCACAGCAGUUUUUUGGGGCGAGACAAACGGGAGACGUUCAUCAGUAGGAAUAAACACCAUCCAUGUUACCGUGACGUCGACGGGCUCAGUUCCAUCUCUUGGCUAUCAACCCCCCUCCCUCCCUCCAACACCUACAAGCAGAUGACAAAUACAAUGACAGCAAUUGUAAAACAUCCACCUGGGCUCCUUUGAGUUCAAAUGUUUACCCAAAAUACCUGAUUUCACACUGUCGUCUUGUUUUCUGACGAUUGGGCUAGGUGUUGCAUGUCUAGUGUGGGGGCUAGGUGUUGCAUGUCUAGUGUGGGGGCUAGGUGUUGCAUGUCUAGUGUGGGGGCUAGGUGUUGCAUGUCUAGUGUGGGGGCUAGGUGUUGCACACACACGUUCUGGACAUUGCAACAGUUCAUUCAUGCAUAGAUCAUCAGAAACACUACAAACAUACCACCAGCAUGUAUACAGGUUUCAGACCACCAGCAUGCAUACAGGUUUCAGACCACCAGCAUGUAUACAGGUUUCAGACCACCAGCAUGUAUACAGGUUUCAGACCACCAGCAUGUAUACAGGUUUCAGACCACCAGCAUGCAUACAGGUUUCAUACC